rnacentral:rRNA from 1 species
GAUGAACGCUGACAGAAUGCUUAACACAUGCAAGUCGACUCGAGUCUUCGGACUUGGGUGGCGGACGGGUGAGUAACGCGUAAAGAACUUGCCUCAUAGUCUGGGACAACACCUGGAAACGGAUGCUAAUACCGGAUAUUAUGCUUUCUUCGCAUGGAGGAAGUAUGAAAGCUAUAUGCGCUAUGAGAGAGCUUUGCGUCCCAUUAGCUAGUUGGUGAGGUAACGGCCCACCAAAGCGAUGAUGGGUAGCCGGCCUGAGAGGGUGAACGGCCACAAGGGGACUGAGACACGGCCCUUACUCCUACGGGAGGCAGCAGUGGGGAAUAUUGGACAAUGGACCAAAAGUCUGAUCCAGCAAUUCUGUGUGCACGAUGACGUUUUUCGGAAUGUAAAGUGCUUUCAGUCGGGAAGAAGCAAGUGACGGUACCGACAGAAGAAGCGACGGCUAAAUACGUGCCAGCAGCCGCGGUAAUACGUAUGUCGCAAGCGUUAUCCGGAUUUAUUGGGCGUAAAGCGCGUCUAGGCGGCAAGGAAAGUCUGAUGUGAAAAUGCGGGGCUCAACUCCGUAUUGCGUUGGAAACUGCCUUACUAGAGUACUGGAGAGGUAGGCGGAACUACAAGUGUAGAGGUGAAAUUCGUAGAUAUUUGUAGGAAUGCCGAUGGGGAAGCCAGCCUACUGGACAGAUACUGACGCUAAAGCGCGAAAGCGUGGGUAGCAAACAGG